ACUUAAAUAAUUUAAAUAAAAAUAUUGAUUUGUGGGAUCAAAAAUAUGAAUAUUCAUUUUAAGUC
rnacentral:tRNA from 1 species